rnacentral:rRNA from 1 species
UGCGUAGGCGGUCGGAUAAGUUUGAUGUGAAAUCUCCGGGCUUAACCCGGAAACUGCAUUGAAUACUAUUCGGCUUGAGGUCUGGAGGAGGGACUGGAAUUCUCGGUGUAGCAGUGAAAUGCGUAGAUAUCGAGAGGAACACCAGUGGCGAAGGCGAGUCCCUGGACAGGUCCUGACGCUGAGGCACGAAAGCUAGGGGAGGCAAACA